UUUGGAAAAAUAAGCUAAUUACAAAACUAAUUGCACUAGUCAUGGUUAAUUGAUGAGUAGAAUAUAUCGAUCCUAAUUAGUCAUGAUUAACUCAUGUGGUGCUACAAUAAACAUGAGCUAAUCUUGAACUAAUUAGAAUUAGUAGAUUCUACUCAUGAAUUAGCCAUGAAUUAUGCAAUUAGUUUUCCAAUUACCUUAUAUUUAAUAGUCAAUCAGGAACCCAACGUCGGACUAAUUUUUCAGUCCCGAGGCUCCCAACAGGGAUUUAAAGAAAAAAAACAAGUUCGCAUGUACUUGUACUCAGCUACUUCAGAAAGACGGGCCUUGUUUACUUCACUUCCAACUCCCAACUUUAGCACUAUGCAAAAAGAAGAUUCACCAUCACAUCAAACUUGCGGUACAUGUAUGGAGUACUAAAUGUAGAUGAAAUUAAAAACUAAUUGCACAGUUUUGUUGUACUUUGCGAGACGGAUCUUUUAAACCUAAUUAGUCAAUGUUUGGACAAUAAUUCACAAAUACAAACGAAACGCUACAGUGUGCUAUAGUGCCAGCACAGUAAUUUUGACCCUUACAAUUUUAGCAACUAAAUAAGGCCUAGACCCAAUCCGUACUUACGCAG
rnacentral:lncRNA from 1 species